UGAACUACCUGGAAGCUUUGACUUGUACCUAAAAUAACACAUUGAGUAAAAUUUUUAAAUUUUUAUUUCACAAGAUACUUGGAAAGAAAUACUGUAUUAUAAUUAUGCAAAUUUUAAUAUUUAAUAUUUAACAUGCACUACUUUUCCACUUUUAAAAUUAUACAUUCAUAUAAUGUUCACAUUUUCAAAUAGGAGAAGGCUCUCUCAACUGAAUAGUACAAUGUAACACGUGAUUUAGGAAACUCAUUUACUCUUUAAGUUAUGAAAGUCAUUCGUAGCUUCCAAUUAUACCUCUCGGAUCAUUAAUGGAUAAUAACAUACAAACACAUAUUGUUUACUUUCCAACCACUUGAACCAGUUCAUUUUUUCAUUAGUACCAUGCCAGUCUGUUCAUAUCUGCCAAUUCUCCCUCUCUGGAAAAUAUCUGUGUUAAGCCAACUUCAACUCACAAAACUUUAACAUGAAAUUGCAGAACUUGGCUGUCUUAAAACACAUCAGUACUUUCUUGUGCCUUUGGUACACUUUCUGCUUUUGAUAUUUUUCUUGAAGGCAGAAAAUAGCUAUUAGUAAUUAAACUUUAAAAAUAUAUUAAAAAGUUGUAGUAUUGCACUUGCAACUUUUAGAAAAUAAUCAUAUUUUACAACCAAAUUAUGGACACCUAGACUUUAAAUAAAUUUAAAAUUUCACCUUAUUCUUCAUAAGUGACACAUACAUUGGACAGUCAAGAGGUCUGAAAAUUUCAGACCAUAUUUAGAUGGCUGAAAUCAGAGUAGCUGCUAUCAUCACCAACACAUGGAAGCUCAAGGAAGGUUUUUAUUUGAUGACAACAAUGCAACAAAUUGUAACAUCCUGUCCAGCUGAGAUUCUUUUGUAGCAGGGUUAUGAGUUUAACAAUGUAAUGAAGGUAAUCUAAUAUUGACACAUUCAAUAGCGUUUUUCCUUAAGAAGUUUACCGAUACUAAUACAAUAGUACAUUAGUUAAUCUUCAGUUUCUUCUAAGGAAUCAAAGUUGAAUUGAAUUGCCUACUUAAAUUAUGGGGCACUGCUUUUAUUUAAAAUAAAAUUUGCUCUGGAGAGGGAAUAACUCACCUGUUCUAGUUUUGCUCUUUCUCAUGGAGAUUGGUGCUCAGGAAUAAUAUGAUUCUUUUCAUUUAAUUCAUGAAAUAUCCUUGUAAAAAUAAUCACACUUGUCCCUCAAGCCCGUUAAAGGCUGCUGGGCUGCUGAUUUUUGCUUAUUAAAACUAAAACUCAGCACUCAGCAUGCUGAUUUUUUUUUUUUUUUCUGGGAGGAGGGUGGUGAGAUAAAGUUUGCAUAAGCAUAAAGUCCUACUAUGUUAAACUGCUGUUUGCUAAAACAUUCUGACCCAGAAGCAUAAAAUUAUACCUCCUUUACCCCUAGAAAAAGGGAACUUUUCUGAACAGUCUGUGGUCCAAGCCUAUGCUUUUAGAAACGCUGUAUUAAUGAUUUUGUUGAAAAAUGUGCUUAUAAUGCAAAUGUGCUUAUGCAGUUUUCAUCCUUCUGUUCGGUGUAUUAGUGAUAGAACCACAAAGUAUUAAUCGGAACACUGGUUCACUCAGCUUAAGACUCUAUCAGCCUUCCUUGCAUGUAAGUUUGAUCAAAUGACUAAGUUCUGGCUGCUGAUUUAUAAACAAAAAAUGAUCUCUGCAACUGAAGUGUCAUGUCUUUAAAAGAUAGCUUCUUAUUACAUCUUUUUUUUCCCUCCUUCUUGCUGGUUAGAGGCCAUCUUUGAAGAAGUAAACAAGUACCAUACACUAAAGGGAUGACAGAACAACGAAACAAAAGGCUUCCGAGGCGAUCCGGCAACAUCAGUCUUCAGCCGCUAAGCCAAGAAGAUCUGGGAAGGAGUCAAUCAGAGAGCCUUGGGCCAGAGUUCCAGGGGCUGUGGAAGUGGCUGCCAGGUGAGUUGAACAGUCCGAUUUUCAGUGGGGUCCUACACAGAUGGGACACAGCUUAGGAGGAAUCCUGGGCUGUGGGCAUUCCUUGGCCUAGUGGCCAGAUUUCUGGCACUUGUAGCAAGCUCCUGGGGGAGGAGGUUCUGGAGGAACCCCUGGCAGCUGCGGUUUGGGCGUUUGGAGUUCUUGUGUGCUGGAGAUGUGGCUGGGGUUUGUCUCACAGUGGAGGCAAGAAAUUGCAACUCAGAAAUACAUUGCUACUUGGCUGCCUCUACUCUAUUAUUGUAUAACUUGAAGGUGAGGUUAAUUAAGUCCUGUUGUGAGGUUUGAGGGCCGGAAUUUAAUUUUUGGAGUUUUAUUUAAUGUCAGGAGCGGAUUGGGUAAUAAAAUGUAUAUUGAGAAUAAGACGGCCUUUUGACAUUUUAGGGUCUUGGGCUGUAAAGCGUCUCAGGGUUGCUGCCGAACGAGCCAUGAACUGGGCUGGGUUUUUCAUAUUUGAUGAAAGAGCCUAAAUGCUAACUGAUUUGGGAGAGGUCGGAUAAAGAAAAAGAAGCAUUAACCUUGACUAUGCCUUUAGCUCCAGCCUCCUUUUUAAGAGGAAAUUGCUGGUCAGGUGGAGGAGGGCUAGUCGCGUCGCGGAACGAAACUAUAAGCCGGACUGGGUGUGAGGAGGGGAGGUGAUAAAAGGAUUAUAGGGUGGGGGAGCAGAGGCUGAGGAAGAAUUGGGACCUGGCUUGACCUGGCUUGGCCUGGCGAGGAGCAGCCUGGGGAGGAGGAGAGAGGUCAGAUGGGUCUGUAGAAAAGGAAGAUUAGAAAGACUCAGCGACGCUUGGGGUUGGGACUGAGAGGACAGGCGGGAGGGAAAGAAGGAGGAUUUGGGAUGAGUCACAUUGGGAACAGAGAGUACGGAGAGAACAAUGUGUAAAAGAAUGCCUGGACGUCAGGCACCUCAGACCAUUUGCCCAUUUUACGACAAGAAUUAUCGAGAUCUUGUGGGAUGGAAAAAUCGAAAGUGCCGUUCUGUGGCUAUUUUAGAGCCUUUGUCAAGUUUGUAUUGGGGCCAAGCGGUGUUGCAGAAUAAAAUAAGAUGCUUAGAUUUUAGGUCAGGCGAGAGUUGAAGAGGUUUUAAGUUCUUAAGAACACAGGCUAAGAGAGAAGAAGGAGGAAUGGAGGGUGGAAGGUUGCCCAUAGUGAAGGAGGCAAGUUUAAAGAGAAGGGUAGAGACACGGAGAAGGGGGUGGGGAGCAGCCCUGGGCUGCAACGUGGGUGAGCAGCCAAAGCAGGCGUCCUUGCAAUUGACUUGCCACCAAGGGAACAUGGGCGAAUGAUCAAGGAAGGCACCCCUGCGGAGAUCAGACACCAGUGGAACGUGGGUGAAUAAUCCAAGAGGCAUCUCGGCGAUGAUUAAACACCAAGGUAAGGCUGUCUUCCCGAGUCCGUGACCGGCGCCGGAGUUUUGGGUCCACAGAUAAAAUGUGUCUCCUUUGUCUCUACCCGAAAAUGAAAGGAACUGAAAUUAACAGAAGGGAGAGAUUGAAGUGUGGCGCCAAGCUUGAAAGGAGAAAGAGGUUGAGGGAUAGUGAGGGAGGUUGGAGAAGAGAGUAAAAAGAGGCCGCUUACUGGAUUUGAAAUUGGUGAGAUGUUCCUUGGGCUGGUCAGUCUGAGGACCUGAGGUUGUAGGUGGAUCUUUCUCAUGGAGCAAAGAGUAGGACAGGGGAUUGAUCUCCCAAGGGAGGUCCCCUGAUCCCAGUCACGGCACCAAAUUUCACUCGCGUCCGUGUGAAGAGACCACCAAACAGGAUUUGUGUGAGCAACAAGGCUGUUUAUUUCACCUGGAUGCAGGCGGGCUGAGUCUGAAAAGAGAGUCAGUGAAGGGAGAUAGGGGUGGUGCCGUUUUAUAGGAUUUGGGUAGGUAAAGGAAAAUUAGUCAAAGGGGGUUGUUCUCUGGCUGGCAGGAGUGGGAGGUCACAAGGUGCUCAGUAGGGGAGCUUUUGAGCCAGGAUGAGCCAGGAGAAGGAAUUUCACAAGAUAAUGUCAUCAGUUAAGGCAGGAACAG
rnacentral:lncRNA from 10 species